rnacentral:rRNA from 1 species
GAUGAACGCUGGCGGCGUGCCUAAUACAUGCAAGUCGAGCGAACAGACGAGGAGCUUGCUCCUCUGACGUUAGCGGCGGACGGGUGAGUAACACGUGGAUAACCUACCUAUAAGACUGGGAUAACUUCGGGAAACCGGAGCUAAUAUCGGAUAAUAUAUUGAACCGCAUGGUUCAAUAGUGAAAGACGGUUUUGCUGUCACUUAUAGAUGGUUCCGCGCCGCAUUAGCUAGUUGGUAAGGUAACGGCUUACCAAGGCGACGAUGCGUAGCCGACCUGAGAGGGUGAUCAGCCACACUGGAACUGAGACACGGUCCAGACUCCUACGGGAGGCAGCAGUAGGGAAUCUUCCGCAAUGGGCGAAAGCCUGACGGAGCAACGCCGCGUGAGUGAUGAAGGUCUUCGGAUCGUAAAACUCUGUUAUUAGGGAAGAACAAAUGUGUAAGUAACUAUGCACGUCUUGACGGUACCUAAUCAGAAAGCCACGGCUAACUACGUG